GCACAAGCAGCGGAGCGUGUGGUUUAAUCGAUGUUACACGAAGAACCUUACCAGGGUUUGACAUGCAAGUGGUAGGAAGCCGAAAGGUGACCGACCCUUCGGGGAACCCGGUGACAGGUGCUGCAUGGCUGUCGUCAGCUCGUGUCGUGAGAUGUUGGGUUAAGUCCCGCAACGAGCGCAACCCUCGCCUUUAGUUGCCAGCAUUCAGUUGGGCACUCUAGAGGGACUGCCGGUGUCAAAACCGGAGGAAGGUGGGAUGACGUCAAGUCCUCAUGGCCUUUAUGUCUAGGGCUACACACGUACUACAAUGGCAGGUACAAAGGGCAGCGACACAGCGAUGUGAUGCGAAUCCCGAAAAGCCUGUCUCAGUCCGGAUCGGAGUCUGCAACUCGACUCCGUGAAGUUGGAAUCGCUAGUAAUCGUGGAUCAGCAUGCCCACGGUCGAAUACGUUCCCGGGCCUU
rnacentral:rRNA from 1 species